GCCUGGGUGGCUCAGUCAGUUGAGCAUCUGACUUCGGCUCAGGUCACAAUCUCACAGUUUGUGGGUUCGAGCCCCACUUUGGGCU
rnacentral:tRNA from 1 species